ensembl:lncRNA
GCAGAACUUGGCACACCGUAGACAAUCAAUAAAUGUUUAUUGGAAGGGAUAAUGAAGGAAUAUCCUCUCACAGUGUGCUGUGAGAGAUAAACGAGGGAUCGGACAGGACCGGAUCUGCUUGCAAGCUGCAGAGUCCAAUGCAAAUGGCAUCUACUGUCUCGCUGAGGUACAGCUGGUGUUGCUAGCUUGGUGACACUGUGAUUUCCAACCUCUCCUUUUGGCUGUCAUUUUACUAUUGCUAGAUGGCCACUGAAGCUCCAGACAUCAAAUCCACAUUCCAGGCAGACGGAGAUGACAAAAAGCAAAAGGAAAGAGGAAACAGCAGUAACAUUCACCAGUUUUUAGGACAAUAAAAUAUUUUCUUAAUGUGUAAGAGCACAUUUCUGCUUUGAUUUCCCUGUGGGGAGCUGUUCACCCGAGCAUCCAGCAGCUAAGGGUUAUGGAGAGUCAGCAUCUCCUUCACUGAUACUCCACAGGUGAGGAAGGGAGUGGUGGGAGACGGGAUCACAGAAGGAGUAUCGGCCCCAGAGAAUAUGUGGGCUGUCCACUCUAUACAGGAAGCGUAAAGAAACCCCAAGAGGGGUAGCUGUGCCUCUCCACUGUCACUGGCCUCGCUCAGCCUCACAACCCUGCAUGCCUGUUGUCAUAGAUUCUCUGAUCUUCUGGAACACGCAUGCAGAUAGCCACAGCCCUGGUUUCUUCCCUUCCUUCUUGUUUCUUCAAAGCACUGAAGCUUAAAAAAAAAAAAAAACUACGUCUUUCAACGUGAACCACGUCCUGCUCUCAUUAAUUCCACCCUUGGGGACUUAGCUGCCAGCCUAAAGGAAGCUGGUGACGAUGCAAGCCAAAGGUCCCCCGGGCCUGUAACCAAGUCAUUGCUAAGGACUCUAUCAAGGACACUGAGAUGGAAAUGCCGGGAGAGCCAGCUGCAGAUCUUGGGCAAACCCUGGAGUGGCUGAGGGAGGAGCUGGCUGAGAUGCAGAUCCAAGACCAGCAGCUACUGUUCACACUGAGGCAUCUGCACAGCCUCCUGGAGGAGCUUCGAGCUGAAAGCACCCACUGGGUGGACACAAGGCCCAGCAGAAGCACAUCUCCUUUCCGAGUGAGGCUGGGAUCAGAGGGCAGGGCCUGCCAGCCUGUGCCAAGGCAACUGCCGCAGCUGCUCCAAGAGGAAAAGAACAGGCGAAGCUCCCUUCCUUAACCAGCCAGAGGAUGCUCAUUAAAUUCUCCUACUGCUAGUAUAAAUUGUGUCUGCUAUGUGUCCUUGAAUCUGUCACUUCUUAACUAUCUCUGUCAUUUGCCAGAGGGAGAGUGUGUGUGUGUGUGUGUGUGUGUGUGUGUGUGUGUGUGUGAUAAAUUAUAUGUUUUAUAAGGGUUUAUAUAGCUUUCACCGAGGGUGAUAAUUCUAGCUCUAGUAAUUUUUCACAGGGCAAUUGUUAAAGAAAGAUUAUAAUGUGCAAAGAUGGUUGGUUACCUACUGUUACCUUGCUGAAAAAUCAGAACAUCUAUAGUGACUUCCUGACUAUUCUCUGUGUUCCUGUUAGGCCCUCUUGUCCCCCUUUAUCUGAUAAUGAAAAGUCCUGUUGCACCACAGAUCACAGAGACAAGCAUGUCAAACAUAUAAUUCAUGUUGGCUCUAACAUUGUGAUUCAUGAUUGGCUUAAUUCAUGGGCAUGUGACUCAACAAAGCCAACCACAACCCUUCCCUGGGAUUGCUAUCUGGACACUGCCAACCACACUCCCACAGGUAGUUCAAUUUCUUUUAGGCUGUGUUGACCUUUGCCAAUAAGCAGUGUAGGGUUAGACUCCAGAGCAAGGGGUGAAAGGAGAGACUGGUUCCUUUGUCCCCUGCAGUAUCUUAGAGAUCUCUUGCAACCCUCGAUGUCACCCACCAGAGCUGCUUCACUUCAGUAGGUGGCACCAGCUCUGAGUCUAAGACCCAGUCUGGAGGCCCCUUCUAAGCUCAGACGCUCCCCCUGCCCCCUUCAGAUAUCUGCAGGCCAGCUCUUCAGGCUCCCGUCUGUGUGGUUUAAAUUUUAAUCCCUCAGCUUCAUUGCUCCCCAGCACUGGGGGUGGCAGAUUCUUCCUGUAAUUGUUAGCUUGGAGUUCUUUUUAUAACCUCUCGUCUAUUCAGUUGACUUUAUACUUAGUUAAUAAUUCUUUAUAUUAAAUUCUGUGCUUCAAAAAGAAGAAGUAGAAGAAGAAGAAGAAGAAGAAGAAGAAGAAGAAGAAGAAGAAGAAGAAGAAGAAGAAGAAGAAGAAGAAGAAGAAGAGGAGGAGGAGGAGGAGGA